GGCUCAGGACGAACGCUGGCGGCGUGCCUAAUACAUGCAAGUAGAACGCUGAAGAGAGGAGCUUGCUCUUCUUGGAUGAGUUGCGAACGGGUGAGUAACGCGUAGGUAACCUGCCUUGUAGCGGGGGAUAACUAUUGGAAACGAUAGCUAAUACCGCAUAACAAUGGAUGACACAUGUCAUUUAUUUGAAAGGGGCAAUUGCUCCACUACAAGAUGGACCUGCGUUGUAUUAGCUAGUAGGUGAGGUAACGGCUCACCUAGGCGACGAUACAUAGCCGACCUGAGAGGGUGAUCGGCCACACUGGGACUGAGACACGGCCCAGACUCCUACGGGAGGCAGCAGUAGGGAAUCUUCGGCAAUGGGGGCAACCCUGACCGAGCAACGCCGCGUGAGUGAAGAAGGUUUUCGGAUCGUAAAGCUCUGUUGUAAGUCAAGAACGAGUGUGAGAGUGGAAAGUUCACACUGUGACGGUAGCUUACCAGAAAGGGACGGCUAACUACGUGCCAGCAGCCGCGGUAAUACGUAGGUCCCGAGCGUUGUCCGGAUUUAUUGGGCGUAAAGCGAGCGCAGGCGGUUUGAUAAGUCUGAAGUUAAAGGCUGUGGCUCAACCAUAGUUCGCUUUGGAAACUGUCAAACUUGAGUGCAGAAGGGGAGAGUGGAAUUCCAUGUGUAGCGGUGAAAUGCGUAGAUAUAUGGAGGAACACCGGUGGCGAAAGCGGCUCUCUGGUCUGUAACUGACGCUGAGGCUCGAAAGCGUGGGGAGCGAACAGGAUUAGAUACCCUGGUAGUCCACGCCGUAAACGAUGAGUGCUAGGUGUUGGAUCCUUUCCGGGAUUCAGUGCCGCAGCUAACGCAUUAAGCACUCCGCCUGGGGAGUACGACCGCAAGGUUGAAACUCAAAGGAAUUGACGGGGGCCCGCACAAGCGGUGGAGCAUGUGGUUUAAUUCGAAGCAACGCGAAGAACCUUACCAGGUCUUGACAUCCCGAUGCUAUUUCUAGAGAUAGAAAGUUACUUCGGUACAUCGGUGACAGGUGGUGCAUGGUUGUCGUCAGCUCGUGUCGUGAGAUGUUGGGUUAAGUCCCGCAACGAGCGCAACCCCUAUUGUUAGUUGCCAUCAUUCAGUUGGGCACUCUAGCGAGACUGCCGGUAAUAAACCGGAGGAAGGUGGGGAUGACGUCAAAUCAUCAUGCCCCUUAUGACCUGGGCUACACACGUGCUACAAUGGUUGGUACAACGAGUUGCGAGUCGGUGACGGCAAGCUAAUCUCUUAAAGCCAAUCUCAGUUCGGAUUGUAGGCUGCAACUCGCCUACAUGAAGUCGGAAUCGCUAGUAAUCGCGGAUCAGCACGCCGCGGUGAAUACGUUCCCGGGCCUUGUACACACCGCCCGUCACACCACGAGAGUUUGUAACACCCGAAGUCGGUGAGGUAACCUUUUGGAGCCAGCCGCCUAAGGUGGGAUAGAUGAUUGGGGUGAAGUC
rnacentral:rRNA from 1 species